UAAGUUUGAUGGCGACCGGCGCACGGUGAGUAACACGUAUCCAACCUGCCGAUGACUCGGGGAUAGCCUUUCGAAAGAAAGAUUAAUACCCGAUGGCAUAGUUCUUCCGCAUGGUGGAACUAUUAAAGAAUUUCGGUCAUCGAUGGGAUGCGUUCCAUUAGGUUGUUGGCGGGUAACGGCCCACCAAGCCUUCGAUGGAUAGGGGUUCUGAGAGGAAGGUCCCCCACAUUGGAACUGAGACACGGUCCAAACUCCUACGGGAGGCAGCAUG
rnacentral:rRNA from 1 species